UUUGUUUACAAUUAUAGAUACUAUCUGUAAUCUCAUGUUUAUGCCCCCCGUAGCGUAGGAUGAAUUAGAUUUUACCUUGUCCGUCUGUACGUACCUCCUAAAGUUAGUUUCCAUUCCGUAAAUGUAGUUUGCCUCAACUAAAUGUUAUGACACUAAUACACAAUGCUUAUAACCACAAAACACAGAUCAAUUUGUGUUUUGGUGACGUCACUUUAAUCGUUCUAGAGUUAU
rnacentral:lncRNA from 1 species